rnacentral:rRNA from 1 species
AUUGAACGCUGGCGGCAUGCUUUACACAUGCAAGUCGAACGGCAGCACAGGGAGCUUGCUCCCGGGUGGCGAGUGGCGCACGGGUGAGUAAUACAUCGGAACGUGUCCUGUUGUGGGGGAUAACUGCUAGAAACGACUGCUAAUACCGCAUGACGCUUCUUGGGGGCAUCCCUGAGAAGUCAAAGCUUUAUGUGCUGAAAGAUGGAUUCGCGUCUGAUUAGCUAGUUGGUGAGGUAACGGCUCACCAAGGCGACGAUCAGUAGCCGGUCUGAGAGGAUGAACGGCCACAUUGGGACUGAGAUACGGCCCAG